AUGAACAAACAGAACAGAUAUAGGAAAUACAUACAACCUCAAAAUGCUUCUACUGUAUCAGAAAACUCAAACUCCCAAUUCAAAUAUAUGAUGUUGUUCCAUAGAUCCAUAACAUGCUCAGACAUGUGUUUCGACAUACUCCUUACAGUUCAUACUAACAUUUUUUUGAAAUAUAGAAUAGACACAACAUAUGAUUUGAGUUUAGGAACAGAACAUUCAUCAAUGUCAAUUCACAGUUUACCAUCAAAACCUAUGGUAGCAACUUCUCAGAAGCAAACAAUUUUUCUAGAUCUCUAUCUUUCAAAACAACAACUAUGUAUCCAGAGAGUAUAUUAUAUUUCAUCAUGUCUUUCACAAAUUUUCUUUCAUUAUCUUUUUAAGGACCUAAUACAUGGCCAUCUAAGUCCUUAA